CAAGCGUUGUCCGGAAUCAUUGGGCGUAAAGCGCGCGUAGGUGGCCUCGUAAGUCCGCUGUGAAAGUCAAAGGCUCAACCUUUGAAAGCCGGUGGAUACUGUGAGGCUAGAGUACGGAAGAGGCGAGUGGAAUUCCUGGUGUAGCGGUGGAAUGCGCAGAUAUCAGGAGGAACACCAAUAGCGAAGGCAGCUCGCUGGGACGUAACUGACACUGAGGCGCGAAAGCGUGGGGAGCGAACAGG
rnacentral:rRNA from 1 species